UUUGUAUACUAUAUUGUUUUACUGCCUCACAAUGCAAAUCAUUCAAUCUGUAUUUAUCUGUGCUGUAUUUGCGUACUUUUUCUUGAUGCCAUUUGUUUACCUUGUACUUUUUACUACUGCAUUUAAUUUUUGUCUCUUUAUAAGUUUCAUUCUCAUCAUAUCUUUGCUUAGUUUCCAUUUUUUUAUUUUCUUUAAAAUCAUGAUCACGACUAUAUUGCAGUCUCUGCUUAUAAAGCUUACGUGGGUCUGAGCUAGUUUUUAAAUAGGUUGAACCUUGAGAAGAUGCUUUACAAAAGCAAGCACAGGUAUUGUUGUUGGUUUUUACACAUACAACAACUUCAUAAUGACAGCUAUUCACAUGAUGCAAAUAAAUUCCCUUGUCUUGACAGCUCUGUCUAUUAGAGGAGACAUUUGAAGAUUUAUAUUUAAGCCAUUUGUCUUGACUAUAUGUAAAAAUGUCUACACCAAUUAAAUCACUGGCUGCUUGUAUUUCCAUCUCUGUCGCCCAAUUUCCAACAAAUUUCAUUCUUGAUGUGGCAAUGUACUCCGGUACAGAGCUGUAUCCUUGUCUGAGAUACUGUACAUACUUUUCUUCAUUCUGCAGUAUGUGUGUAACUACAGCCCGUCUUACUUUUCUGUGUUCUCGUUCCGUUCCACUUACACCAUAGGCUAAGGCUCGAAAAAAGCAGUUAGCGUCUUUAACAAUUUUCAUAGUUUCACAAGGCUCAGAAAUUUCCAUUGGCAUCACAUUUGGAUUAUUUUGUUCUUUUACAACAUUUGCAAUGUUCAGCUUUAAGCAAACACUAUUUUGUUGCUCAAGUGUUAAUGGACUAAACUGUAUAGAAUCACUGGCACUUUCUGAAAUAAAUUCAACAUCACCUGCAUUUCCAUGAGCUGUGUAUGAAGCCAUUUCCCUUUUCUGUUCUACACAAGUUUCGUUCACAGAGUUUACAAAAUCACUCAGAGAUUGAGUGCAGCCAACAUCACCUUCAGUCUCUUUCACUGCUCGUUCAGUGUUCUGGAUCACUGGACAGAAUGGCUUACCCUGUUGAUCGUUUCUGUCAAUCAUAACUGCAUUGACCCCAGUUACCUCAAACUCAUGGUAACGUGCAUUAAUAGACGCAGCGAGUUUCCGGAAAUGAACAAUCAGAGAAUGCAAGUCACGAUGGUAAACCACUACACUCUUACCGUCAGCUACACAUCUGCCAUCAAAGCGUCUUGAAUGUGGAUCAAUCACUGCAUACCAGGAACCUUCUCUGACAGCUGCACAUAUGGUUAGCUUAAUAUUCACUAAGCAUGCAUCAAACCUCUGGAAUGCUCGAUUUACUGCUUCAUCAAAUGACAUUGCAUACCCUCGUAGUUCACCAUCAUAUUUAUUGACACCAAACAAGCCAGUCAAUGUUUCACCAUAGUUUAUUGAAAACUGACAAUCUUUCAGAGUGUGUGUGUCUGGUAGCUCAUGAACAGCUAUGAAGCCUGAUUCAGGAUCGUUGAUCUUCCCUGCGUCUCUCAUUGCACUGUACAGCUCAUUUCCGUGGAUCAAAACAGCAUUCAGGUCACUUCUUGUCCACUGCAACACACUUUUCAUCUUACACAUCACAAUUGCAGUUAAACUGUUUGCACCACAUUGGCUUCCCCUAUUCCAGCCAAAACGGUAAUCUCCUUGAUGGAAAGAGCCUCUGAUAUAGGAAGUCUGUGGAGACAAAGAAGAAACAGCAUGCAUAGUCAUCUCAGCAUCUUUUGGAAACUUUGGCAUAGACUUUGAAUUAGCGUCUGAAUCAGACUUUGGGUCAGAGUUUGGGUAAGAUUCGGAAUAUUUGGCAAAUUCGGAACAAUCGGAAAAUUCGGAACAAUCGGCAAAUUCGGAACAAUUGGCAAAAGUAGGAUCAGGCUCUUGUAUUUCUUUUCUUUUUUUAACAGGUGGCAAGAUCUCUUCAGGAUUAGCAGCUAGCCGGUUCACGAUUCUCUUCUUGGCUGCCUGAGAACGCUGAGACUGCUUCGUCCGAGGCAUCUGUAAAUACACAGAAUAUAGGAAGAUAAAUUAAAUGACAUAUUACUGCAUAAUAAUUAACAAACAACACAGUAAAGAGAAAAUAAUAAGAUUGCACUAAAAGCCAUUCUCUACAAACAACCCUGUUUUAAUUAGAGCUAUACUGACAUCUAGUGGUGAAAUCAUAAAGUUACAUAGAAUUUUAUUUCUUUCUUUAUACAUACAAGUCUGUGUGGGUCUAUGUGUAUUCACACACAGCAAUUCAAAAGCAUUGAAGCAAAACUAACUUAUGAUCAUAAAGGAUAAAUCAUUAUUCAAAUUACAUCACCACCACCAAUUACUCAUUAUUUUUUUCAUUAUUUCAAAAUGUGCUAAACAACAAACCAAAGCAAAAUUAUUUAAACUGGAAAGGAGAAAGUGGAAAAUCAAGCCAAAAAUCAUGUAGUGUAGUUUAAGAGACUAUAGAC
ensembl:lncRNA